rnacentral:snRNA from 1 species
AACUUUGCGCAGUGGCAGUAUCAUAACCAAUGAAGUUAAUCUGAGGUAUGAUUAUUGCUAGUUGAAAACUUUUCCAUUGUAUUAAGAUUCCUUAACAUUACUAUAUGAUACUCAAACCUUAUGAUUAAAUACUGCAGUUCACACUAUCUGG